rnacentral:rRNA from 1 species
AUUGAACGCUGGCGGCAUGCCUUACACAUGCAAGUCGAACGGUAACGGGUCCUUCGGGAUGCCGACGAGUGGCGAACGGGUGAGUAAUAUAUCGGAACGUGCCCAGUAGUGGGGGAUAACUGCCCGAAAGAGCAGCUAAUACCGCAUACGACCUGAGGGUGAAAGGGGGGGAUCGCAAGCCCUGUCGCUAUUGGAGCGGCCGAUAUCAGAUUAGCUAGGUGGUGGGGUAAAGGCCUACCAAGGCAACGAUCUGUAGUUGGUCUGAGAGGACGACCAGCCACACUGGGACUGAGACACGGCCCAGACUCCUACGGGAGGCAGCAGUGGGGAAUUUUGGACAAUGGGCGCAAGCCUGAUCCAGCAAUGCCGCGUGCAGGAAGAAGGCCUUCGGGUUGUAAACUGUUUUUGUCAGGGAAGAAAUCUUCUGGGCUAAUACCCCGGGAGGAUGACGGUACCUGAAGAAUAAGCACCGGCUAACUACGUGCCAGCCGCCGCAGUAAUAC